rnacentral:rRNA from 2 species
GGGUUGUGAGGUUAAGCGACUAAGCGUACACGGUGGAUGCCCUGGCAGUCAGAGGCGAUGAAGGACGUGCUAAUCUGCGAAAAGCGUCGGUAAGGUGAUAUGAACCGUUAUAACCGGCGAUGUCCGAAUGGGGAAACCCAGUGCAAUUCGUUGCACUAUCGUUAACUGAAUACAUAGGUUAACGAGGCGAACCGGGGGAACUGAAACAUCUAAGUACCCCGAGGAAAAGAAAUCAACCGAGAUUCCCCCAGUAGCGGCGAGCGAACGGGGAGCAGCCCAGAGUCUGAAUCAGCUUGUGUGUUAGUGGAACGGUCUGGAAAGUCCGACGGUACAGGGUGAUAGUCCCGUACACCAAAAUGCACAGGCUGUGAACUCGAAGAGUAGGGCGGGACACGUGGUAUCCUGUCUGAAUAUGGGGGGACCAUCCUCCAAGGCUAAAUACUCCUGACUGACCGAUAGUGAACCAGUACCGUGAGGGAAAGGCGAAAAGAACCCCGGCGAGGGGAGUGAAAAAGAACCUGAAACCGUGUACGUACAAGCAGUGGGAGCACCUUCGGGUGUGACUGCGUACCUUUUGUAUAAUGGGUCAGCGACUUAUAUUCUGUAGCAAGGUUAACCGUAUAGGGGAGCCGCAGGGAAACCGAGUCUUAACUGGGCGUUAAGUUGCAGGGUAUAGACCCGAAACCCGGUGAUCUAGCCAUGGGCAGGUUGAAGGUUGGGUAACACUAACUGGAGGACCGAACCGACUAAUGUUGAAAAAUUAGCGGAUGACUUGUGGCUGGGGGUGAAAGGCCAAUCAAACCGGGAGAUAGCUGGUUCUCCCCGAAAGCUAUUUAGGUAGCGCCUCGUGAAUUCAUCUUCGGGGGUAGAGCACUGUUUCGGCUAGGGGGUCAUCCCGACUUACCAACCCGAUGCAAACUACGAAUACCGAAGAAUGUUAUCACGGGAGACACACGGCGGGUGCUAACGUCCGUCGUGAAGAGGGAAACAACCCAGACCGCCAGCUAAGGUCCCAAAGUCAUGGUUAAGUGGGAAACGAUGUGGGAAGGCACAGACAGCCAGGAUGUUGGCUUAGAAGCAGCCAUCAUUUAAAGAAAGCGUAAUAGCUCACUGGUCGAGUCGGCCUGCGCGGAAGAUGUAACGGGGCUAAACCAUGCACCGAAGCUGCGGCAGCGACACUAUGUGUUGUUGGGUAGGGGAGCGUUCUGUAAGCCUGCGAAGGUGACCUGUGAGGGUUGCUGGAGGUAUCAGAAGUGCGAAUGCUGACAUAAGUAACGAUAAAGCGGGUGAAAAGCCCGCUCGCCGGAAGACCAAGGGUUCCUGUCCAACGUUAAUCGGGGCAGGGUGAGUCGACCCCUAAGGCGAGGCCGAAAGGCGUAGUCGAUGGGAAACAGGUUAAUAUUCCUGUACUUGGUGUUACUGCGAAGGGGGGACGGAGAAGGCUAUGUUAGCCGGGCGACGGUUGUCCCGGUUUAAGCAUGUAGGCUGGUUGUCCAGGCAAAUCCGGAUAAUCAAGGCUGAGGUGUGAUGACGAGGUACUACGGUGCUGAAGUAACAAAUGCCCUGCUUCCAGGAAAAGCCUCUAAGCAUCAGGUAACAUCAAAUCGUACCCCAAACCGACACAGGUGGUCAGGUAGAGAAUACCAAGGCGCUUGAGAGAACUCGGGUGAAGGAACUAGGCAAAAUGGUGCCGUAACUUCGGGAGAAGGCACGCUGGUGUGUAGGUGAAGUCCCUGCGGAUGGAGCUGAGACCAGUCGAAGAUACCAGCUGGCUGCAACUGUUUAUUAAAAACACAGCACUGUGCAAACACGAAAGUGGACGUAUACGGUGUGACGCCUGCCCGGUGCCGGAAGGUUAAUUGAUGGGGUUAUCCGUAAGGAGAAGCUCUUGAUCGAAGCCCCGGUAAACGGCGGCCGUAACUAUAACGGUCCUAAGGUAGCGAAAUUCCUUGUCGGGUAAGUUCCGACCUGCACGAAUGGCGUAAUGAUGGCCAGGCUGUCUCCACCCGAGACUCAGUGAAAUUGAACUCGCUGUGAAGAUGCAGUGUACCCGCGGCAAGACGGAAAGACCCCGUGAACCUUUACUAUAGCUUGACACUGAACAUUGAGCCUUGAUGUGUAGGAUAGGUGGGAGGCUUUGAAGCGUGGACGCCAGUCUGCGUGGAGCCAACCUUGAAAUACCACCCUUUAAUGUUUGAUGUUCUAACGUUGGCCCCUGACCGGGGUUGCGGACAGUGUCUGGUGGGUAGUUUGACUGGGGCGGUCUCCUCCCAAAGCGUAACGGAGGAGCACGAAGGUUAGCUAAUCCUGGUCGGACAUCAGGAGGUUAGUGCAAUGGCAUAAGCUAGCUUGACUGCGAGCGUGACGGCGCGAGCAGGUGCGAAAGCAGGUCAUAGUGAUCCGGUGGUUCUGAAUGGAAGGGCCAUCGCUCAACGGAUAAAAGGUACUCCGGGGAUAACAGGCUGAUACCGCCCAAGAGUUCAUAUCGACGGCGGUGUUUGGCACCUCGAUGUCGGCUCAUCACAUCCUGGGGCUGAAGUAGGUCCCAAGGGUAUGGCUGUUCGCCAUUUAAAGUGGUACGCGAGCUGGGUUUAGAACGUCGUGAGACAGUUCGGUCCCUAUCUGCCGUGGGCGCUGGAGAAUUGAGGGGGGCUGCUCCUAGUACGAGAGGACCGGAGUGGACGCAUCACUGGUGUUCGGGUUGUCAUGCCAAUGGCACUGCCCGGUAGCUAAAUGCGGAAGAGAUAAGUGCUGAAAGCAUCUAAGCACGAAACUUGCCCCGAGAUGAGUUCUCCCUGAGACUUUAAGUCUCCUGAAGGAACGUU